ensembl:lncRNA
AGCUGGAACUCAGGUUUGCAGAGGGAGCCCAAACCAACCUAGGCUGAGAUGCUGUUCCUCCUGAGAUAAACCUAACCCCGCACAGAUUCCCGGCUGGCUGGCAGAUGUCUAUGCUUAGCGUGAACGAUUAAGCGACUCACUGCGCUCCGGGGAUUGUCACAAUGCUGGGCCGGGGCAAACGGCACGGACGGACUCAACUCCCAGGGUGCGCUAUCGGCUCCAGCCGGAGCCUGACUCGACCUGCAAACCCACCGCUCCGCUGCACGCGAACAGCCUCCGCCGGCCAAGUGCACCCCCAGCUGCGCCCCAACUUUGCCUUGUGUGGUCCCAAACUUUCCCUGGUGGGUUCACAGGAAAAUAAAACUAAAGGACAGACGCCUCACUAGAGAGCCGGGAGCUGGGAUGCAGCGUGGGGAGGGGCUUGGCCGGCAUCUCCCAGAAUCGCUGGUGGGUAGCUGGGGAAGGGGAGCGUCCCUCUUAGCGCCUCCCCGACAGCAGGCCCCCCACCCCGAGCCGGAAGCAGGGCGGUUUGGGUGGGAGAAGCAGGGGGUGCUCAGAAGCCGCACCCGGGAGCUGAGAGAGUUGGCUAACUCCUUUCGGGGCCUGGGGCGCCCACGUCCUCCGUGAAGCCACCUGUGAGUCUGCCGCCGGAUGCACGCCAUCCGGAUCCAGGGACCCCGACCUCUGCGGCCCCCGAGCCCGGCGGCUGGUCUGGGUUCGGCCGCCCGCACUUACCGGGAUCCGCCAGGAAGACGCGCACACUGCGGGGGCCCGAGCGCGGCCCGCCGCUCCGGUCCUCCGCCUCCUCCGGCCCUCCGCCUCCUCGCUCCGAGGCCCGGGCUGCGGCUCGCACUCGCCGCCGCUCUCGCCGUCCGGGGCUGGGCUCGGGAGGAGACUAAGCCGCCGCGAGCCCCGCGCGCCGCCUCUGGUGCUGCCUGGCCCCCUCCGGCCCCUCCCUCUCGCCUCUGCGCGGGGAGCGUGGCCGCAGCGCGCUCGGCUCCCGCGCCCUCUGCUCCACGCCUCCUGGGCGCAGAGGCGACGCCGGCUGCGGUCUCUUAGGAGAUUUCUCCGCAGUGGGGACAGGGGUCAGGAUUUGCAGACGGGCAAGGACGAAGAGGAGAAAUCAUACAGGGUUUCUUCAUGCUUUCCUGGGACUAGGGGAAACGUCCGUCGUAUCUGGAAAAUGCACCACCUUUGACUUUGGGAGACAUCAGUCCUGGAGCCCUGUGCCCUCCUGUUGCCACAUGAGCCAACAGCUGCCCAGACCUGCUCCACGGGUAUCAUCCUGGGAAUUCUCUUUGUGUUGAGAGCCCUGUUUCCUCAAUCCUCUUUUCUUCUUUACUUUCCCUGCUAACUGGAGCACAGCCUCCUGUGUCUUCUGUGGAGUCCUGCCCCAAGGCCACAGUGUAAGGCCUUGCAUCAAGGCCACAGACAUGGAGCCCAGAACCAAGUUCACCUCCAAAACUGACUGAGCCUCUUUGUAACCAUUGCCAAAAGCCCCCAUGAUUAUCACCAGCAGGCUUCUCGAUCCCAUUUUAGACAAAAAUGCCCACACAGUGCUCACCCUAUAGCACCUUAACCAAUCACCUAAAGCCAGCCUUUCAGCAGGAAUUUUCUUUGUUUUGAGGCUGCAAAAACUAACCCGUGAAAACUGUCGACUUUCUCUAGUGGUCAGCUGUACUUGCAGUGCCUACAUUAUCUGUGCUCUUUGUUCUUAAUAAACUCACCCCUUUC